ACAUGGAAACGCAGGUUCCCGUACGAUCAGUGAAUUUAAGCAACAUCGUGCUUGAUCAGUACCUAAAUGAGUGACCUCCUGGGAAUAUCUGGUACUGUAA